rnacentral:rRNA from 1 species
AGCUUGCUCCUCUGGAUGAGUUGCGAACGGGUGAGUAACGCGUAGGUAACCUGCCUGGUAGCGGGGGAUAACUAUUGGAAACGAUAGCUAAUACCGCAUGACAACAGUUAUUGCAUGAUAACUGUUUAAAAGGGGCAAUUGCUCCACUACCAGAUGGACCUGCGUUGUAUUAGCUAGUUGGUGAGGUAACGGCUCACCAAGGCGACGAUACAUAGCCGACCUGAGAGGGUGAUCGGCCACACUGGGACUGAGACACGGCCCAGACUCCUACGGGAGGCAGCAGUAGGGAAUCUUCGGCAAUGGACGGAAGUCUGACCGAGCAACGCCGCGUGAGUGAAGAAGGUUUUC